GAAAAUCAGUGAAGUCAUCUGAAGGGCUAAAGUAAUUGAACUUU
rnacentral:sRNA from 1 species